rnacentral:rRNA from 1 species
UUAAAUUGAAGAGUUUGAUCAUGGCUCAGAUUGAACGCUGGCGGCAGGCCUAACACAUGCAAGUCGAACGGUAACAGAAAGCAGCUUGCUGCUUUGCUGACGAGUGGCGGACGGGUGAGUAAUGUCUGGGAAACUGCCCGAUGGAGGGGGAUAACUACUGGAAACGGUAGCUAAUACCGCAUAACGUCGCAAGACCAAAGAGGGGGACCUUCGGGCCUCUUGCCAUCGGAU